CUCUGUGACUCCUACGGGAGGCAGCAGUGGGGAAUAUUGCACAAUCGGGGGAAACCCUGAUGCAGCCAUGCCGCGUGUGUGAAGAAGGCCUUCGGGUUGUAAAGCACUUUCAGUAGGGAGGAAGGUAGUGUAGUUAACACCUGCACUAUUUGACGUUACCUACAGAAGAAGCACCGGCUAACUCCGUGCCAGCAGCCGCGGUAAUACGGAGGGUGCGAGCGUUAAUCGGAAUUACUGGGCGUAAAGCGCAUGCAGGCGGCCUGUUAAGUCAGAUGUGAAAGCCCCGGGGCUUAACCUCGGAAUUGCAUUUGAAACUGGCAGGCUAGAGUCUUGUAGAGGGGGUAGAAUUUCAGGUGUAGCGGUGAAAUGCGUAGAGAUCUGAAGGAAUACCAGUGGCGAAGGCGGCCCCCUGGACAAAGACUGACGCUCAGAUGCGAAAGCGUGGGGAGCAAACAGGAUUAGAUACCCUGGUAG
rnacentral:rRNA from 1 species